AGUGUAGGCUGGUUGGGAGUUGUGUCACUGCUCAUGCUCUUAAAAUGUUGGUGCCUGUAGAAGACACAUUUCCGAGGUGAGCAGGACGAUUAUGAGAUGGAGUUACAUCGGGAUGCCACCGGGCUGCUAGCAAAGCCGGGAGAAGAAGAAUAUUGGGACAGGGACAUGGAAAGGUGGAUUUCGGUGUAGGAAUGGAGGAGGAAAAAGAGGAAGAAGAGGUUCUACAAAAUGUACGUCAAUGCUUAUGUCCCAAACCCAGACCACCCUGAGGACGUCCUGCCUUAGCUGUGGGGACAUGAGUUCUCUUACCAAGACUACAAAAGGAUUCCCCGUUUACAUUUGCCUCCUGGUAAAAUGGGUUGCACUUUAACUCUUAUUUAAGCAUUGUUGUUUGUUGUUUUGCUGUUAUAUUCCAACACACUGGUUCUUGUGUACAUUUUGGUGUUAUUUCUCCUCCCGGUUUGUGUUCUGAUAGAAGCACUGUGGAGGCAAUGUUCAAAUUAGACCUGUGACAAUAAAUGCAGUGUUGAAGAUGA